rnacentral:lncRNA from 1 species
GGCUUCAAACAUUAUCUUUUGAUGCUCAAUCCCAUAUUUGAGGAGGGGCUGUUAGACUAGUGGGGUAGUAAGUCAGACAUUCUAGAGUCUUGAAUUUUCUGUAUUUAAGUUCCUUUCUCGUUCAGUAUUGUAUUUAGGAAUUUCCUGUUAAUGUUGUUGAUGGCUUUAAUUUCAAAGGUUCCCAGCCUAUUGCCAUUGUACUUAUGUCGUAGCAACAGGAAUAUGUUUGGGCAAUUCCCAAACAGUGGCUAUUUCGGGUAAUAGUAUGAUUAGUAGUUGGGGCAUUCACUGGAUAUCUGGAGAGACACUUUAUAGAGAGAUGCAGCUGAGAAAACUUAGGAGCUCAUGGCAGAAAGGGCAGGGCUGGUACCAUAGACCAGGGAG